GUGCCAGCAGCCGCGGUAAGACGAACCGUGCAAACGUUAUUCGGAAUCACUGGGCUUAAAGCGUGCGUAGGCGGCCAAGAAAGUUGGGUGUGAAAUCCCUCGGCUCAACCGAGGAAUUGCGCUCAAAACUACUUGGCUUGAGAGAGUUAGAGGUGAGCGGAACUAAUGGUGGAGCGGUGAAAUGCGUUGAUAUCAUUAGGAACACCGGUGGCGAAAGCGGCUCACUGGGGCUCUACUGACGCUGAGGCACGAAAGCUAGGGUAGCGAACGGGAUUAGAAACCCCCGUAGUCC
rnacentral:rRNA from 1 species